CAGCCGCCGCGGGAAUACGUAGGUGGCAAGCGUUGUCCGGAAUUAUUGGGCGUAAAGGGCUCGCAGGCGGUUUCUUAAGUCUGAUGUGAAAGCCCCGGCUCAACCGGGGAGGGUCAUUGGAAACUGGGAAACUUGAGUGCAGAAGAGGAGAGUGGAAUUCCACGCGUAGCGGUGAAAUGCGUAGAGAUGUGGAGGAACACCAGUGGCGAAGGCGACUCUCUGGUCUGUAACUGACGCUGAGGAGCGAAAGCGUGGGGAGCGAACAGGAUUAGAUACCCGCGUAGUCCCUGUCUCUUAUACA
rnacentral:rRNA from 1 species